CAGAGGGGGCAAGCGUUGUUCGGAAUUACUGGGCGUAAAGGGCGCGUAGGCGGCCUUCUAAGUCGAACGUGAAAUCCCCGGGCUCAACCCGGGAACUGCGUCCGAUGCUGGAAGGCUUGAAUCCGGGAGAGGGAUGCGGAAUUCCAGGUGUAGCGGUGAAAUGCGUAGAUAUCUGGAGGAACACCGGUGGCGAAGGCGGCAUCCUGGACCGGCAUUGACGCUGAGGCGCGAAAGCCAGGGGAGCAAACGGGAUUAGAUACCCCGGUAGUCCUGGCCCUAAACGAUGAAUGCUUGGUGUGGCGGGUAUCGAUCCCUGCCGUGCCGAAGCUAACGCAUUAAGCAUUCCGCCUGGGGAGUACGGUCGCAAGGCUG
rnacentral:rRNA from 1 species